GUGGCCGUAGCUCAAUCGGUUAGAGCACCGGAUUGUGGUUCCGGGGGUUGCGGGUUCGAUUCCCGUCGGUCACC
rfam:Gemmatimonas aurantiaca T-27 DNA, complete genome.